CCAGGCUCUUGUUUUAGGUCCCAGCGAUUGCCUCUGUUGUGAUACCUUCCCUGAUUUCCUCUAGCCCCACCACAGUGCCACGCUCAUUAAAGUCCCUAUCCCCCGAGUCUUGGUAGGAGGAUGGUUAUCUUGUUCACAGAUGUUUCCAGUGCCUAGAAUUGUGCCUAACUGUAGUUAAUGCUCUGGAAACAUUUAUUGGGUGAAUGUCUCCAUCUCUAGAAUGGCCAACCCAGUGCCUGGCCCACAGGAGGCCUCAGCAAACACUUGUUGUUCGGACAGAAGUCCAGGUCCCCUCAUUCACUUAAAUCCUGUUUAUCCUUCAAGGGUGAGUUCUGAUUCACCUUGUCCAGGGAGGUGACCCUGAGGCUGAGGCCUCUGUCCUGAACUUUCACAGCAGGCGACACACCACCCAACACUGGGACCCUAUGUGCCACCCUUUUCCCAACAGCCUGGGGACACCCAGUCCCACCUGCUCAAUCAGGUUCGGGCACCCAGUGUCACUGAGGUCCCUAGAAGCCCGCGCCCUCUCCAUCUUGCACUCCAGCUCCGGGCUGGAUUGUAUUCAUAUUUUAUUUUCCUGUUUCUGUUUUUAGUUUUUAUUAAAUAAAAGCAGAGGAAGAGGAAGGUGCACUGCGUGCUGGGCUUGAG
rnacentral:lncRNA from 1 species